UUAUGGCCAUAUCACGUUGAAACAUCGGUUCCAGUACGAUCACUGAAGUUAAGCAAGGUCGAGCCUAGACAGUACCUAGAUGGGUGACCGCUUGCAAAUACCAGGUGUUGUAAG